UAUGCCCCUAGAGGCAUUACACGUGUGGCUGUCAUGCCAUGUGUGUGUCAUUAGGUGGCAGAGAGGAAGAGGCUGUGUCUACGCUCAGUGCUCUGGAACCUUUGAGCACUCAGAAUGAUUAGUAGCUUGACAUUG
ensembl:snoRNA